UUUUACCUUAUUUAGUUUUUGCUGAAUUUUUCUUCAAGAAAAACGACGCUCUCCGACCCUUCUAAUUUUUUUCAUACCUUUGUCUUUGCCUUUCUCUUCUUUUCCUCCUCCUUUCUCUCUGCCUUUCCUUCACCUAAGCUGAUGGAUUUGGCUUUAGCAUUCGGUUAGCUUUUAUAGCCAACCGUUGAGGCACUGUGGCACUUUGAAAAGUGCCACUGUGAGCCACAGUGCGGCACUUUCGAAGUGCCGCACACUUUCAUUCGAAAUGCCGCACAAAGAGGCACUUUGAAAGUGCCUAUGGCCAGAAAGUGCCACAGCGCUGGCACUAAAAUCCAG
rnacentral:lncRNA from 1 species